rnacentral:misc_RNA from 1 species
AAGUCGUAACAAGGUUUCCGUAGGUGAACCUGCGGAAGGAUCAUUAACACUAAUGAAAUCCAAAACCUUUUGGAUCAACCCAACCUUAGCGAACCGUUCGUAUUUUCCCUUGCCCAAUUUUACCAAACGCAAAAAACUCUGAUGUAAAGUGUCUGAUUACUAUUCUCGUUUCGGUUGUAACGACCAGCGGGAAUCAAAAUCUAACGCAAUACAACUCUUAACAACGGAUAUCUUGGCUCUC